GUUCUAGAACACAUUAGACAUUGGCUUGCCUUUAGAAACUGGUGAAAUUUUCAAGUAAGAGGUAUUUAGCAUGUUGGGAUGUUUACGUAAGUGUAUGGUCCAUGCUAACUGUACUCCUUGUGUGGUUCUCCAGCAAGGCGCGCAGGACGACGACGACGAGGAUAAAAGAAACAUCAUUCAAAGAAACUGAAACACAAGUUAAUGAGAUAGUUAUGGGAACCCUGGGCUGAUGUAAGGGAGUUCAUGUCUUCAUGAAAUCCAAGGGAAUUAAACUCAAACAAUGAAUGAGCUUGCAGAAAAGAUCAAUGAAUCAUGAAGGGGAAAAAAAAAAAUCACUUUUAGUAAUUUUUGAAAAAGAAAUCCUAUAUAAUAUAAAAUGUGCCUGAAGCCCUGAGAAAGGCAAAUGGUGUGCUCAUAUGCAAUGAAAUAUAAAAGAUAGAUUCAAAGAAAA